CAGGACUCAGGGACACAGUCAACAUGAUGGCCUGCAGAAAAAUUUAGCAACUGGAAAAUCCCUUUUGGCAAGAAAAUGAACUCUUUUAGAAAGGAACAGGAAGUCUAACAUCUUUUAACUUAAUUCCAGGAUGAAGUGAUCUUACCAAGGACCUGAGUUAUACCUAAACAAAGAAGAAGCAAAAACAUCUAAGAGAGAGAAGCCCAAUUAGGAGGGCUGAUGAAGAACAGGAUUCUGGGCAGGAAGAGGGUACUAUCAUGGAAGUCAGCAAAUAGGCACGUGGAAUAAGCCAGGCCAAUAUCAAAGCCAAGAAGUCCACAGAUAAGAAGCAAAUUCAAGUUCCAAGUACAGAGACAGUUGUAGUACAGUAAUUCAAAAUAUAGCAUCUGGACCAGGCAAGAUGGCUCAUGCCUGUAAUCCCAGCAUCUUGGGAGGCCAAGGUGGGAAGAUCACUUGAAACCAGAAGCUCAAGACCAGCCUGGGUAAAA
rnacentral:lncRNA from 10 species